GGUUAAGCGACUAAGCGUACACGGUGGAUGCCCUGGCAGUCAGAGGCGAUGAAGGACGUGCUAAUCUGCGAAAAGCGUCGGUAAGGUGAUAUGAACCGUUAUAGCCGGCGAUGUCCGAAUGGGGAAACCCAGUGCAAUUCGUUGCACUAUCGUUAACUGAAUACAUAGGUUAACGAGGCGAACCGGGGGAACUGAAACAUCUAAGUACCCCGAGGAAAAGAAAUCAACCGAGAUUCCCCCAGUAGCGGCGAGCGAACGGGGAGCAGCCCAGAGUCUGAAUCAGCUUGUGUGUUAGUGGAACGGUCUGGAAAGUCCGACGGUACAGGGUGAUAGUCCCGUACACCAAAAUGCACAGGCUGUGAACUCGAAGAGUAGGGCGGGACACGUGGUAUCCUGUCUGAAUAUGGGGGGACCAUCCUCCAAGGCUAAAUACUCCUGACUGACCGAUAGUGAACCAGUACCGUGAGGGAAAGGCGAAAAGAACCCCGGCGAGGGGAGUGAAAAAGAACCUGAAACCGUGUACGUACAAGCAGUGGGAGCACCUUCGGGUGUGACUGCGUACCUUUUGUAUAAUGGGUCAGCGACUUAUAUUCUGUAGCAAGGUUAACCGUAUAGGGGAGCCGCAGGGAAACCGAGUCUUAACUGGGCGUUAAGUUGCAGGGUAUAGACCCGAAACCCGGUGAUCUAGCCAUGGGCAGGUUGAAGGUUGGGUAACACUAACUGGAGGACCGAACCGACUAAUGUUGAAAAAUUAGCGGAUGACUUGUGGCUGGGGGUGAAAGGCCAAUCAAACCGGGAGAUAGCUGGUUCUCCCCGAAAGCUAUUUAGGUAGCGCCUCGUGAAUUCAUCUUCGGGGGUAGAGCACUGUUUCGGCUAGGGGGUCAUCCCGACUUACCAACCCGAUGCAAACUACGAAUACCGAAGAAUGUUAUCACGGGAGACACACGGCGGGUGCUAACGUCCGUCGUGAAGAGGGAAACAACCCAGACCGCCAGCUAAGGUCCCAAAGUCAUGGUUAAGUGGGAAACGAUGUGGGAAGGCACAGACAGCCAGGAUGUUGGCUUAGAAGCAGCCAUCAUUUAAAGAAAGCGUAAUAGCUCACUGGUCGAGUCGGCCUGCGCGGAAGAUGUAACGGGGCUAAACCAUGCACCGAAGCUGCGGCAGCGACACUAUGUGUUGUUGGGUAGGGGAGCGUUCUGUAAGCCUGCGAAGGUGUGCUGUGAGGCAUGCUGGAGGUAUCAGAAGUGCGAAUGCUGACAUAAGUAACGAUAAAGCGGGUGAAAAGCCCGCUCGCCGGAAGACCAAGGGUUCCUGUCCAACGUUAAUCGGGGCAGGGUGAGUCGACCCCUAAGGCGAGGCCGAAAGGCGUAGUCGAUGGGAAACAGGUUAAUAUUCCUGUACUUGGUGUUACUGCGAAGGGGGGACGGAGAAGGCUAUGUUAGCCGGGCGACGGUUGUCCCGGUUUAAGCAUGUAGGCUGGUUAUCCAGGCAAAUCCGGAUAAUCAAGGCUGAGGUGUGAUGACGAGGCACUACGGUGCUGAAGUAACAAAUGCCCUGCUUCCAGGAAAAGCCUCUAAGCAUCAGGUAACAUCAAAUCGUACCCCAAACCGACACAGGUGGUCAGGUAGAGAAUACCAAGGCGCUUGAGAGAACUCGGGUGAAGGAACUAGGCAAAAUGGUGCCGUAACUUCGGGAGAAGGCACGCUGGUGUGUAGGUGAAGUCCCUGCGGAUGGAGCUGAGACCAGUCGAAGAUACCAGCUGGCUGCAACUGUUUAUUAAAAACACAGCACUGUGCAAACACGAAAGUGGACGUAUACGGUGUGACGCCUGCCCGGUGCCGGAAGGUUAAUUGAUGGGGUUAUCCGUAAGGAGAAGCUCUUGAUCGAAGCCCCGGUAAACGGCGGCCGUAACUAUAACGGUCCUAAGGUAGCGAAAUUCCUUGUCGGGUAAGUUCCGACCUGCACGAAUGGCGUAAUGAUGGCCAGGCUGUCUCCACCCGAGACUCAGUGAAAUUGAACUCGCUGUGAAGAUGCAGUGUACCCGCGGCAAGACGGAAAGACCCCGUGAACCUUUACUAUAGCUUGACACUGAACAUUGAGCCUUGAUGUGUAGGAUAGGUGGGAGGCUUUGAAGCGUGGACGCCAGUCUGCGUGGAGCCAACCUUGAAAUACCACCCUUUAAUGUUUGAUGUUCUAACGUUGGCCCCUUACCGGGGUUGCGGACAGUGUCUGGUGGGUAGUUUGACUGGGGCGGUCUCCUCCCAAAGCGUAACGGAGGAGCACGAAGGUUAGCUAAUCCUGGUCGGACAUCAGGAGGUUAGUGCAAUGGCAUAAGCUAGCUUGACUGCGAGCGUGACGGCGCGAGCAGGUGCGAAAGCAGGUCAUAGUGAUCCGGUGGUUCUGAAUGGAAGGGCCAUCGCUCAACGGAUAAAAGGUACUCCGGGGAUAACAGGCUGAUACCGCCCAAGAGUUCAUAUCGACGGCGGUGUUUGGCACCUCGAUGUCGGCUCAUCACAUCCUGGGGCUGAAGUAGGUCCCAAGGGUAUGGCUGUUCGCCAUUUAAAGUGGUACGCGAGCUGGGUUUAGAACGUCGUGAGACAGUUCGGUCCCUAUCUGCCGUGGGCGCUGGAGAAUUGAGGGGGGCUGCUCCUAGUACGAGAGGACCGGAGUGGACGCAUCACUGGUGUUCGGGUUGUCAUGCCAAUGGCACUGCCCGGUAGCUAAAUGCGGAAGAGAUAAGUGCUGAAAGCAUCUAAGCACGAAACUUGCCCCGAGAUGAGUUCUCCCUGAGACUUUAAGUCUCCUGAAGGAACGUUAAAGACGAUGACGUUGAUAGGCCGGGUGUGUAAGCGCAGCGAUGCGUUGAGCUAACCGGUACUAAUGAACCGUGAGGCUUAACCUU
rnacentral:rRNA from 1 species